AGUAUAGUACCUACUCAGUCAGGGAAGACUGGACUCAGCUGGUCCAGUGAGUCCACCUAGACACUGGACAAAGCUGAGGGGUGGGCCACAGUCAUGGUGGACAUAGAGCCUGGGCCAGGACACACUGAAUCCAUCAUGAGUUCUCUGUCGCAUGGAAAGGAUAAUCCUAAUAGCCCAUCAAUCCAUGCUAGGAGGCAUAAUUUGGGCUAUCAGACGAGGCUGUGGGUGGCUCAAAGACCACUCUGUGGUUAAGGGGGCUUGCUGCUCUUGCAGAUGACCUGAGUUCAGUUCCCAGCUCUCACUGAGGCUCAUAACUGCAGAUCCAGGAGACACAAUACCCCUUUAUGGCUUCUAUGGGCACUGUAGUCACAUGUACAUACCUACUCAGAGACACAUACAUUUUUUUUUUUAAAGAAAGGUCUUUUUUUUUUUUUCUUAAAAAAAAUUGAAAGAGGCCAUAGGAAAGGAAAGUUAAAAAAAUGUCCCUGGGGGGUUGGGGAUUUAGCUCAGUGGUAGAGCGCUUGCCUUGCAAGCGCAAGGCCCUGGGUUCGGUCCCCAGCUCCGAAAAAAAGAAAAAAAAUGUCCCUGGAGCAUUUCAAAAGGACAAAACAAAUGUAAGGUUCACACUGUUGGGUUUGUAUAUAGUUCAGUUGGUAGAGUGGUUACCUGUAUGUAGGAGGUACUGGUUUGAGUUCCCAGCAUCAGAACAAAAAUUAAAAUAAAUUAUCUUAAAAAUACCACUUCGUUGAGAGCCAAAUGUUACUUUUCUUAAUGUGACUGAACACUGGGCAGGAAGCAACUUAAAGGAGGAAAGGCUUUAUCUCUGGCUCACGGUUUGAAAGGAUACAGUCCAUCUCCUCAGGGAAAGCACCAUGUCAGCAGAGUGAGGGACUGGUCACAUUGUAUCCACAGCUGGGAAGCAGAAAGGAGACACAAAGUCUGGCCAAGCUUUUAGAUCUCAAGGCCCCAUCCCCUAGAGACCAGCUUUCUCUGGAGAGCCUUUACCUACUAAAGGCCCAGAACCUUCAAAAACAGCAGCAGCAGCUUUGGCCCAAAAGUUCAAAACACGUGGGAGCAUCUCAGAGGCAAAUCACAGCCAACCGGAAGCUUCCACAACGUUUAACAUCUGUGCUAACAAACACCUGCCCCUUCCUAUCUAGUGCCUUUUGUUUCCAGUGAAGAGAAACAUCUCCGGAUCCAGGUCCUCUUUUCUCACUAUAACCCUGCUCCGGGGUGGGCACCUGGGCUUUGACAUUGUUCUUCAUGUUUGCUCAACAGUCAUAGCAACCAGGCCUGUGAGCAUGUCGGGAAAGAAAGAAUAUACCUGGUGCUCUGAGGUGUCUGUCCAGCAGAGGAGGGAAGACGGUCUGUUGGUCUCCUGGUUGGGUGGACUUGGUGGGGGAGUGCCUCACAGGAUCUCCUCUGACCCGCUCCCCCAUCUCGCUCCCCCCACCUCACCACAGUCUACACAUGAGCUGUUCUAGUUCACAACACACUCGUGGUUUGUCGUCCCGCCCCCCCCCCAACCCCCAAGUUAAGGCAAUAAAUAAGAAAAAUUCCCAUGGGAAUCUGCCAGUUCCACCUUUAAGAGAGGGGCUCUCCAACACAGGUUGUUGAACAAAACAAGCCACUUCACGGUUUUGGCAGCAGGACUGGGGUCUCGAGAGACUGAGCAGAGAUGAGAACUGGCUGAGACCCAGAGCUGCAUUCCCGUGCUGCCUUGUGCGGAGUGGCUUUACUUCACCAGACCUGAUGACUAUGGCCUGGGCCAUCUGCUCAACCAGUUUUGUCUGCCUCCAUCAGCAGAGGCAGCAGAGGCAAAGGGCAGGCUGGGUAAGGGACUCCAAGACACUGGCUGCCUUUCCUGGGCUCACUCUGCAACUUGAGGCAUUUCCAUGCAAGAAUGGCUUAGUCGGCGUCCUGGUGGGGGAUUUUGCUCUCUAAGCCAACAAACCAACCACGACAGCCUGAAACAGCCUGGGGAUGCUUCGAGGGCAUUUGAGGGAUUUCUCUACUUUGGAGGCACCAGGGGGUGCAAGUCUGAGAAGAUACAGCAAGUUCUAAGCCAGUUUCAGAAAGAACUGAUGGUGAGCAUCAGAGAAGGGGAAGGGUGAAGGGAGGGGAGGUGUGGGGGAGGGGAGGUGUGUGGGGAGGGGAGGGGCAAGGGCUGGUUCCUAAAACCUGAAGCUCCCAGCUCAGCAAGUAAACAAUUAUCCUCUCUCUCCCCCCAUUCUCUCUGUCUCUGUCUCUGUCCCUGUCUCUCUGCGUCUCUUUUUUCCCUUCCUUCUUUCCUCUCUCUCUCUCUCUCUCUCUCUCUCUCUCUCUCUCUCUCUCUCUCUCGGCUUCAUGUAGCCCAGGUUACCCUCAAACUUCCUUUGUAUUGGAGGAUGACCUUGGACUCCUGCCCCUCCUCACUUUUGGGAUCCAGGGCUCUGGCCUGUUAGGCAAAUGCUCUACCCACUGAGCUACACCCCCGGUCUUCAGAGUCAGGUUCGAAUGAGCAAGUCGGAGAGUAGACUGGCUCCUAGCACAAAGUGAACUCUGGGAGGGAAGGCAGGCAAGAAUCAUGCUAAAAUCAACCACACACUCGAGCAUUCCCUGGGUGCCAGGCAUGGCAGACAUUUCCAAGUCACUUCCCUCAAUUUUACGACCACCAUUUUUUUACACAUGACAUUGAGUCUCUGAGACUUAAGUCAGUCCCUUCCCCCCCCUCUUUUCUUUUCUUUUUUCUUUCCCUCCAGCAAUCAGACCCAAUCUCCGACCCCACUUUUUAAACAAAACCAGUUGAGGCAGUGACUCUGGUCAGCUAUGAAAACCCGACAUGCUUCUGCCAUUGCUAUAACUUAUGAGGAACUUUCAUAUUGGAGCCUUUUAUCUCUGUAUUGGAGGCGGGACAGACCUGCAUGCAUUUAACUUCUUUCAGUCAUUCAAAGAGACGGAGAAGCGGAGAGAAGAGCCUGUAUUAAAUCAGGCAAAAUAAGAGGAAACGGACUUAACAAAAUAUUAUGGUAAGAGCUUCAGGUUUCUAUAAAUCACCCCCAUUGAGCUCUGAAAUCCCCAAAUUACUAUUGUUGUGCUAUUUAAUAUUCCCGAUCUGUAACAGCUGAUGAAACCGUGAAACGCAGCCAAACAUGGAGUCGGAAAACUUCUUUAACUCAAUUUGGACUCCGAGUUACCGAAACAACAAAAACAAGACCCAGCACACACAGAAGUGGAGGUGGGGGGGGGGGGACAAAAUCAAAACCUUCCAGGAUUUAACAAAUUUCAGUACAAAUCGUGAACUGGAUCCCUUCAAACCGUUAAGAGGCCUGUACAGAAAGAACACCGCCCAAAUCAAAUCGCCCGGAGGUUUCCCUCUGCAAAACAGCCUGUGGCUCCCUCGUCAGAACCGGAGCCAGAGUGGAAAUUGGUGUGAAAAUUAGUGAGUGCAGACUGCCGCAGAGCACAGGGGAGAGAAACCGGAAGGCAGCGUUCCCUGGGUAUUUGCAAUAAUAACCAAAGCAGAACCAGCUGCAGGCUGGCACGGUGCACCUCGUCCCAGUGCCGUGCAGGCUGACGUUCAAAGGGCCAAGUAAGUGGAUGGUUAGGUGCAGUUUCACGCCUCGUUGCACAGCUAAAUAAAAGGAAAUAUACAUACAUA